AUUGAACGCUGGCGGCAUGCCUUACACAUGCAAGUCGAACGGUAACAGGUCUUCGGAUGCUGACGAGUGGCGAACGGGUGAGUAAUACAUCGGAACGUGCCCGAGAGUGGGGGAUAACGAAGCGAAAGCUUUGCUAAUACCGCAUACGAUCUCAGGAUGAAAGCAGGGGACCGCAAGGCCUUGCGCUCACGGAGCGGCCGAUGGCAGAUUAGGUAGUUGGUGGGAUAAAAGCUUACCAAGCCGACGAUCUGUAGCUGGUCUGAGAGGACGACCAGCCACACUGGGACUGAGACACGGCCCAGACUCUUACGGGAGGCAGCAGUGGGGAAUUUUGGACAAUGGGCGCAAGCCUGAUCCAGCAAUGCCGCGUGCAGGAUGAAGGCCUUCGGGUUGUAAACUGCUUUUGUACGGAACGAAAAGCCCUGGGUUAAUACCCUGGGGUCAUGACGGUACCGUAAGAAUAAGCACCGGCUAACUACGUGCCAGCAGCCGCCGUAACAC
rnacentral:rRNA from 1 species